rnacentral:rRNA from 1 species
UAGGGAAUCUUCCACAAUGGACGAAAGUCUGAUGGAGCAACGCCGCGUGAGUGAAGAAGGGCUUCGGCUCGUAAAACUCUGUUGUUAAAGAAGAACAUAUCUGAGAGUAACUGUUCAGGUAUUGACGGUAUUUAACCAGAAAGCCACGGCUAACUACGUGCUAG